UACCGGCGGCUCGAGUGGUGGCCGAUAUUAUUGAGUCUAAAGGGUCCGUAGCCGGCUUUGCAAGUCCCCUGGGAAAUCCAGCGGCUUAACCGUUGGGCUUUCAUGGGAUACUACAUUGCUUGGGACUGGGAGAGGUAGGAGGUACUCGGGGGGUAGGGGUGAAAUCCUGUAAUCCUCCGGGGACCACCGGUGGCGAAGGCGUCCUACCAGAACAGGUCCGACGGUGAGGGACGAAAGCUAGGGGCACGAA
rnacentral:rRNA from 1 species